GCCUUUCUUUGCAGCUGAACCUGCUGGUGAAGGUGGUGCAGCUUCCCAAGCCAUGUCCAGGACGGAGCCUCUGGGAGAUGCUGAGGGUGUGUCUGCAGGGAGGACUUCUCCAUCUCCUUUGCUGAUUCCUACACAGAAGCCUGGCUCCCAUGGCAGGGGUCCUCCGCAGGCAAAGAACAAAGCUACAGGACACCAGAAACCCCAUGAGCCAUCCGAAAACAUGAGGCAAAUGCUGAAGGAAAUGCAGCAGGCAGGACAAGGUG